GGGCAGUUAGCUCAGCGGUAGAGCGGCUCGCUUACACCGAGUUGGUCGGGGGUUCGAUCCCCUCACUGCCCACCA
rnacentral:tRNA from 1 species